rnacentral:rRNA from 1 species
GACGAACGCUGGCGGCGUGCUUAACACAUGCAAGUCGAACGGAAAGGCCCUGCUUGCAGGGUACUCGAGUGGCGAACGGGUGAGUAACACGUGGAUGAUCUGCCCUGCACUUCGGGAUAAGCCUGGGAAACUGGGUCUAAUACCGGAUAGGAACCAUUUUUAGUGUGAUGGUUGGAAAGUUUUUUCGGUGUAGGAUGAGCUCGCGGCCUAUCAGCUUGUUGGUGGGGUAAUGGCCUACCAAGGCGGCGACGGGUAGCCGGCCUGAGAGGGUGGACGGCCACAUUGGGACUGAGAUACGGCCCAGACUCCUACGGGAGGCAGCAGUGGGGAAUAUUGCACAAUGGGCGCAAGCCUGAUGCAGCGACGCCGCGUGGGGGAUGACGGCCUUCGGGUUGUAAACUCCUUUCGCUAGGGACGAAGCUUUUGUGACGGUACCUAGAUAAGAAGCACCAGCUAACUACGUGCCAGCCGCCGCAGUAAAAC